rnacentral:lncRNA from 1 species
UGUCAUUAUAUAUAGGAGGAUGCUAAGGUACCAGCCAGGCACCUCUUCGUGUUUAAGAUUGGAAAGGACAGUUGACUCACCCAGCUAUUUAUCCAAACCUCUUAGUGCAUCAAUUCACCAUGGAAUAAUACAGCUUGCACAAGAGCAAAACCACUGACAGUCUCCAGACCCUGUAUGUUUUCCCAACCUCCUGUCCCUACCCAGUUUCUCCUUCCCAUUCCCUCCCUACCUGUUCCAUUCCUUCUCAUUCAAUAACCUUCAAUGUUUCAUGUCCUCAAUCGGCGAAGUAUGGCGUGUGGACAUUCCAUUGUGGAGAUCCCGUGCUGGUAGUAUAGUUUAACAUGCACAUCUCUUUCCAUCCCUUCCUAGUUCUCCAUCUGUUCAGGAAGAAAGUCCAAUCCAGAUGUCUAGCCAAGGAGCAAUCUCUCAGGCACUAGCAUUUAUUCAUUUUCUUUUCUGUGUCACAAACCUGGUCUAAUGAUUUAUACUUUCCCUCCUCCCAGCCUCUGAAAAGUUGCCAGGGAGAGACUCCUGAGGGACAAGUCAUGUCUAGAUUGAUGUGUGUGAAAGAAUUUCCUUUAAUUUCUAAUCAUUGACAUAUCUUUGAUUUAUUUUGUUUCCUCUUUGCUGCCUUGGAAUACGGCCCCUACUCUAUUUUAACUGCACCCUGGUAGUGAUCUAUUGUGAGUAAAAUGGGUUCCGAGCAGCCCAGAGUCAGUUCUCCUGGUCUUUUCUCUAGAUGAGAUCUUUUUUUUUUUCCUUUCUGUACAGUUUUAGUUUCAUUUUACUUUUGGUAUUCGUGUUGCAUGUAGCAGUUACAUCAUGCCCCAACUCGCUCAUGCCCUACACAGUCCUUGUAGAGUAGCCAGGAACUGGAGAGUGCCCAGAGCCCACUCUCUAUGCUUCCACCCAUCCCCCAGCCUCCAGCAAGCUCUGGACACGGUCUUAUUUUUCCAUUAGAAAAUAAGACCCUGACAACAGUGUGUUUCUCUUGAAGGCCUUUGCUCAGGACUUUUAAGGGACACUGGUUAGGCUAGAGUAAUUACAACUCUAGCUAUAGAUGCUUUGUCCAUUGGGGGUCAUAGUCAUGCUUGCCUUUGAUAAACGACACUUGUUUUUCCCUUCUACAGAGCUUGAAUUCCUCUCUUGAAGGAAACACAUAGGCUACAUAUAUAUUCCUAAGUUGUGAUAUAUAUAUGAUAUGUCCUGGGGUAGCUUAUAUGUAAAAAUGUGUAUUUUUAUAUAUAAUCAUAGAGAUAUUCCAUAGAGAGAGAAAUACAACGAUCACAUUAUAGAUGCCUCUCUGUACAAGAAGGUGCUUGCUGGAGAUUUAAUUGAAUACUCCUUUGGGACUGUAAGUAUCUGCCUUUCUGAAGACAAGUGGUAAUUAUUUCCUACAGUCUACGGCAUUUCCUUGCUUUCAAAACUUCUCCUUAAGUCAACGCUCAGUGAUUCCUCCACAGUUCCUCUGGGAAAGUUAAGCAUCCUGGAGGAGCCAUGUGCUUAUUUCAGGGCAAAAACAAACAAACAAACAAACAAACCAACCAACC